GAUGAACGCUGGCGGCGUGCUUAACACAUGCAAGUCGAACGAAGCACUUACGACAGAAGCCUUCGGGUGGAAGAUGUUUGUGACUGAGUGGCGGACGGGUGAGUAACGCGUGGGAAACCUGCCCUAUGCAGGGGGAUAACAGUUGGAAACGACUGCUAAUACCGCAUAAGCGCACAGCAUCGCAUGAUGCAGUGUGAAAAGCCUUUACGGCAUAGGAUGGUCCCGCGUCUGAUUAGCUAGUUGGUGAGGUAACGGCCCACCAAGGCGACGAUCAGUAGCCGACCUGAGAGGGUGACCGGCCACAUUGGGACUGAGACACGGCCCAAACUCC
rnacentral:rRNA from 1 species